rnacentral:rRNA from 1 species
UACGAAGGGGGCUAGCGUUGUUCGGAAUUACUGGGCGUAAAGCGCACGUAGGCGGAUUUGUAAGUCAGGGGUGAAAUCCCGGGGCUCAACCUCGGAACUGCCUUUGAUACUGCAAGUCUCGAGUCCGGAAGAGGUGAGUGGAAUUCCUAGUGUAGAGGUGAAAAUUCGUAGAUAUUAGGAAGAACACCAGUGGCGAAGGCGGCUCACUGGUCCGGUACUGACGCUGAGGUGCGAAAGCGUGGGGAGCAAACAGG